UUUUAAGUUUUUUUUUAUAGAAUGUCGUUUCAUUAGUUUGUUUAUGCAAGUGCAUUUAUACACAAUGUCACACUGGACAAUCUGAUAUAGUUAUACUGGUGAAGUAUAGUCCCUAAUAGUCAUUGAGAUAUUAACAUUAUAGUAUCUGGAUUGAUUGAUAGCUUCCAUAGUUUGAAAUUUGGAAAAUGUACAUGUAAUUUUACUGUACAUUAAAAGUUUUUGAAAAAUAUAUAGUUCGAUCAGUGCCAACUUAAUUAUUUUUUUAUAUUUAUUUUAAAAUACUUGUUUAAAAGCAAUAGAUUUUGUUUCAAUUUUUUUUUUUAGAAUGGUACCUUAUUCUUUAUGUAUUUAAUAGACUUAUUAUAUCUUAAAAAAAAAAAAG